UACGUAGGUGGCAAGCGUUGUCCGGAAUUAUUGGGCGUAAAGCGCGCGUAGGCGGCCCUGUAAGUCCGCUGUGAAAGUCAAGGGCUCAACCCUUGAAUGCCGGUGGAUACUGCAGGGCUAGAGUCCGGAAGAGGCGAGUGGAAUUCCUGGUGUAGCGGUGAAAUGCGCAGAUAUCAGGAGGAACACCGGUGGCGAAGGCGGCUUCCUGGACCGACACUGACGCUGAGGCGCGAAAGCUAGGGGAGCAAACGGG
rnacentral:rRNA from 1 species